rnacentral:lncRNA from 1 species
AUGAGUUGCUCCUCGAAGUCAAGUCGCAACUGUAUUAACGGUGUUAAGAAAAAGGAAACAAACUUGCAAGACGUUUCUGUCUUGCGAAGCAAGCCCAUAGGGAAAAUCGUCUUGCGAAGCAACUCAAAAAACCAAAAACCCUUUCGUCUUGCGAGUUUUUGUCUUGCAAGGCAUUCGUCUUACUUGGAUCCUGCCAAAGUCUGUACUGGAAAGGGGGCUGUGACCCUCUGGGCGUCUCCAACCUAUGAGGAGAAUCGGAGCGUCAGUCCUACAAGUCAUUCACAAGACGUCCACCAAUCUGAAAAUGAUUGGAGGUUACCGCUUAGUGUCGACUCCAAUGGGGAUGCUCAGUCCUCUGCUCUGGCUGCCAAGGGCUACCGCAGUGUGCGGCCAAACCUCUCUGAGAGCAAACCACACGACCCCUGUCCUCUGCUCUAUGAAGCGCCCAGGUCCAGCAGUGGCACAGAGUGCUAUGGCUCCCUAACUCUCACCAGCAAACCCACCUCUGGGUACCCCUCCACCACCAUAGUCAACCCCACCAUCGUCCUUUUGCAGCACAACAGAGGUAAGGGUAACAACAUAUUGCCUUUUCCAGCUCAACUUGGGGCAAUUUUCAGCGAGGGCAAUUACCGAAUGGAGGAAAGGAAGAAAGUAAUUAAGAGUCCACAGUACAUGACCGAUUCCUCACCGGAUGACAUAGGCAUUCCAUUAAGGGUAAGGAAAUUUGACCCUCCUGAAGAAAACCCUUAUUGCCCUACCUACAAAUUCCCCGAACUUCCUGAUAUCCAGCCCCAAACCAAAGAUGAAGAUUCCGAUUCCUGUGUGCCUCAGUACUCCUUUUACAAAGACACAAGAGCACAGACUUCAGUACCCCGUUCCAAGAGCGAGAACGACACUAUCGACAUGGAGAAAGUGGUCAAGAGAUCUGCCACUCUGCCCCUGCCAGCUCGUACCUCUUCUCUUAAACCGAGCACUGAAAGGAAUGAUUGGGAGCCUCCGGACAAGAAGGUGGACACAAGAAAAUACCGCGCUGAACCUAAAAGCAUUUAUGAAUAUCAGCCAGGAAGGUCCUCUGUUCUGAACAAUGAAAAAUUGACUCGGGAUAUAAGCCCAGAAGAGAUAGAUUUAAAGAAUGAGCCUUGGUAUAAAUUCUUUUCGGAAUUGGAGUUUGGGAAACCGCCUCCAAAAAAGAUUUGGGAUUAUACUCCGGGAGAUUGCUCUAUCCUUACUAGAGAGGAUAGAAAGACUGACCCAGAAAAAGACAUCUACCUCUAUCAGACUGAGUUAGAGGCAGAUAUAGAAAAAAUGGAGAAAAUGUAUAAAGAUAAGAAGCAGAUGAAGGUAUUUCUUCUUCAUUCCACGCACUCGCCGUAUUCCCCCAGCUACCAUUCUGCAAAGAGAGAGUUUGAAACAGCUCUGGGAGAUGCCACCGGGCCGGAAAACGAAAGGCAAAUAUACAAAAGUGUUUUAGAAGGUGGCGAUAUCCCGCUGCAAGGGCUAAGCGGUCUCAAACGUCCCUCCAGCUCGGCUUCCACUAAAGAUUCAGAAUCACCAAGGCAUUUUGCACCACUUGAUUACAUGGAGAGUCCUGAAGAAUUUUCCCGCAGGCGCCACAGUGAUAAAGAGAAACUUUUAGAGGACCAGAGACGGCUUAGACGUGAGCAAGAAGAGGCUGACAUUGCAGCUAGAAGGCACACAGGGGUCAUUCCUACGCACCAUCAAUUUAUCACUAAUGAGCGGUUUGGGGACCUCCUAAUUGUAGACGAUACCGCAAAAAGGAGAUCUGGGUCAGAGAUGAGAGCUGCCAGAGCGAAGUUUGACUUUAAAGCCCAGACACUCAAGGAGCUCCCACUGAAGAAAGGGGAUGUCGUUUACAUUUAUAAGCAAAUUGAUCAGAAUUGGUUUGAAGGCGAACACCAUGGCAGAGUUGGAAUUUUCCCACAAUCAUACAUAGAGCUACUCCCUCCCACAGAAAAAGCUCAGCCUAAGAAAACAUCACCGAUACAAGUCCUGGAAUACGGUGACGCUAUUGCCAAGUUCAAUUUCAAUGGUGACACUCAAGUGGAAAUGUCUUUCAGAAAGGGCGAGAGGAUCACACUGAUUCGGCAAGUGGACGAAAACUGGUAUGAAGGAAAAAUCCCCAGCACUCACCGCCAAGGCAUCUUCCCGGUCACAUACGUGGACAUUUUCAAGCAGCCGGUGCUGAAGAACACACUAGACUAUGGCAGCUUGUCGUUCUGCCACUCCCCAAACCGGAGUCUGACAACAUCCCCGCAGUCUCCCAGUUCUGAGCUGCUUUUCACACCAACUCCUCCACCUUUGGCCCCCAUCCGCCCAGCCCUGUCUCCUGAGUUGCAGGCUGUCACCUCCGAGUGGAUUUCCCUCACCUUCGGGGCGCCCCGUGGCCACGCUGCACCCGUCACCCCUCCAUUACCACCUCUUCCUGACGCUUCUCUCUGCAACGUCGACUAUCUCACCCCAUCAGCAGUGGCCAGCCCCUCGCCUUCCAUCAGCCUCCAUCCCUCUAACAUGUCCAGUUCCUCCACCCCGACCUCUUUCGUUUCCCCGCUGCCUCCCUCCCCUUACGAGCCUCAGUCGCCCGCCCAAAACGCCAGCCUGGCGGCUCGGCAGAGCGAAGAGAAGUUUGCUAGCUCCCCUUCCCCACAAAUGAGCUACUGCAAUUCGCCUUGCAGCCCCGACAGCUUCCUCUCAGAGCUCAGCGAUGCCACUGAACGCCAAGGCAAGUUGCAGAAGAGCCGAGGGCCGAGCCGGAGAAUGGAGAGGGAGGAUUGCCCAACUCUUCUGUAUCUUGCCUCUGUUUUUCCAUGCUUUCCACCUGGAUUCCUCUACACUUCACUGGCUGGAUCUACCACUGUCUUGUCUUACUGGAUUGCUACAACUGGAUUUCCCCGUCUCUUACUGACUAUCCCCCCCUCCUCCCCACUUCCCCCUGUUCACUGUCCUCUGACGUGUUUCCCCCCCCUCCGUGGAUGUCAACCCUGCACUGUCUCUACCGCCCAGGAAACCGUUUGCAAUGAGAUCUUAAACAUUGCGGAAAAGUCCGUUCAUUACUGCAGCACAAUUUCUCAGCCUCUUGUCUCUUGCCACAAGGGGCCCCAUAGUGACAAUAAAUCAUCUUUCAUCAUUUCUCAGCAACCGCAAGUCCUGCCGCUGGGAACAAGUCUCGACAGGAACCACGCGCCACAAGAUAUGCUUAGCUACCAAGCAUUGUACAGCUAUGUCCCGCAGAAUGAAGAUGAGCUGGAGUUAAGAGAUGGAGAUAUCAUAGAUGUCAUGGAGAAGUGUGAUGACGGCUGGUUUGUUGGUGAGCAUGACAUCUGUCAUUUCAACUCGUUUUUAAAACGUUAA